rnacentral:rRNA from 1 species
GACGAACGCUGGCGGCGUGCCUAAUACAUGCAAGUAGAACGCUGAAGAGAGGAGCUUGCUCUUCUUGGAUGAGUUGCGAACGGGUGAGUAACGCGUAGGUAACCUGCCUUGUAGCGGGGGAUAACUAUUGGAAACGAUAGCUAAUACCGCAUAACAAUGGAUGACCCAUGUCAUUUAUUUGAAAGGGGCAAAUGCUCCACUACAAGAUGGACCUGCGUUGUAUUAGCUAGUAGGUGAGGUAACGGCUCACCUAGGCGACGAUACAUAGCCGACCUGAGAGGGUGAUCGGCCACACUGGGACUGAGACACGGCCCAGACUCCUACGGGAGGCAGCAGUAGGGAAUCUUCGGCAAUGGGGGCAACCCCGACCGAGCAACGCCGCGUGAGUGAAGAAGGUUUUCGGAUCGUAAAGCUCUGUUGUAAGUCAAGAACGAGUGUGAGAGUGGAAAGUUCACACUGUGACGGUAGCUUACCAGAAAGGGACGGCUAACUACGUG